rnacentral:rRNA from 1 species
AGCGAACGCUGGCGGCAGGCUUAACACAUGCAAGUCGAGCGGGCAUCCUUGUGGUGUCAGCGGCAGACGGGUGAGUAACGCGUGGGAACGUGCCCUUCGGUUCGGUAUAACUCAGGGAAACUUGAGCUAAUACCGGAUACGUGCGAGAGCAGAAAGGUUUAUCUGCCGAAGGAUCGGCCCGCGUCUGAUUAGCUAGUUGGUGAGGUUAUGGCUCACCAAGGCGACGAUCAGUAGCUGGUCUGAGAGGAUGAUCAGCCACACUGGGACUGAGACACGGCCCAGACUCCUACGGGAGGCAGCAGUGGGGAAUAUUGGACAAUGGGGGCAACCCUGAUCCAGCCAUGCCGCGUGAGUGAUGACGGCCUUAGGGUUGUAAAGCUCUUUUCUCCGGGACGAUAAUGACGGUACCGGAGGAAUAAGCCCCGGCUAACUUCGUG